rnacentral:rRNA from 1 species
GAUGAACGCUGGCGGCGUGCCUAAUACAUGCAAGUCGAGCGAACAGAUGAUGAGCUUGCUCCUCUGACGUUAGCGGCUGACGGGCGAGUAACACGUGGAUAACCUACCUAUAAGACUGGGAUAACUUCGUGAAACCGGAGCUAAUACCGGAUAAUAUAUUGAACCGCAGGAUGCAAUAGUGAAACACGGCUUUGCUGUUACUUUUAGAUGGUUCCGGGCCGCAUUAGCUAGUUGGUAAGGUAACGGCUUACCAAGGCAACGUUGCGUAGCCGACCUGAGAGGGUGAUCGGCCACACUGGAACUGAGACACGGUCCAGACUCCUACGGGAGGCAGCAGUAGGGAAUCUUCCGCAAUGGGCGAAAGCCUGACGGAGCCACGCCGCGUGAGUGAUGAAGGUCUUCGGGUCGUAAAACUCUUUUAUUAGGGAAGAACAAAUGUGUAAGUAACUAUGCACGUCUUGACGGUACCUAAUCAGAAAGCCACGGCUAACUACGUG